GUCAGCAGUGCCUUAGCAGCACGUAAAUAUUGGUGUUAAGAUUCUAAAAUUAUCUCUAAGUAUUAACUGUGCCG
rnacentral:pre_miRNA from 1 species